CCUACGGGUGGCAGCAGUGGGGAAUAUUGCGCAAUGGGCGAAAGCCUGACGCAGCGACGCCGCGUGAGGGAUGAAGGUCUUCGGAUCGUAAACCUCUGUCAGCAGGGAAGAACGGUCACUGUGCUAAUCAUCAGUGAAUUUACGGUACCUGCAAAGGACGCACCGGCUAACUCCGUGCCAGCAGCCGCGGUAAUACGGAGGGUGCUAGCGUUAAUCGGAAUUACUGGGCGUAAAGGGAUCGUAGGAGGUAUGUCAAGUCAAGGGUGAAAUCCCGGGGCUCAACGUUGGAAUUGCCUUUGAAACUGGAAGACUGGAGUGUGUGAGAGGUAGGCGGAAUUCGUGGUGUAGCGGUGAAAUGCGUAGAUAUCUGGAAGAACAUCGAUGGCGAAGGCAGCUAACU
rnacentral:rRNA from 1 species